rnacentral:rRNA from 1 species
UACGAAGGGGGCUAGCGUUGCUCGGAAUCACUGGGCGUAAAGCGCACGUAGGCGGAUUGCUAAGUCAGGGGUGAAAUCCUGGAGCUCAACUCCAGAACUGCCCUUGAUACUGGCGGUCUCGAGUCCGGGAGAGGUGAGUGGAACUGCGAGUGUAGCGGUGAAAUGCGUAGAGACUCGGAAGAACACCAGUGGCGAAGGCGGCUACCUGGACGGGUACUGACGCUGCAGCGCGAAAGCUAGGGGAGCAAACAGG